GCCGGAGUGGUGAAACUGGUAGACGCAGGGGACUCAAAAUCCCCCGGGGUUCACACCCCGUGUCGGUUCGAGUCCGACCUCCGGCACCA
rnacentral:tRNA from 1 species